GAAUACAAACGCUUGGGUCUCUGCCUCGGCAAGGCUCUCGCACCCUUCACAUCCAUAACACCUGUGAACUGUAAGACGUGGCGACCUCGGUCCCCGUCUGCCCCCAUCAUAAACAUUUAGUAGUAACAAAAGUAGUAUUAUUAUAAUCUAAUAAAACUUUCAACAACGGAUCCCUUGGCUCU
rnacentral:misc_RNA from 1 species